UACGUAGGGGGCAAGCGUUGUCCGGAAUUACUGGGCGUAAAGCGUGCGCAGGCGGCUUUGCAAGACAGAUGUGAAAUCCCCGGGCUUAACCUGGGAACUGCAUUUGUGACUGCAUGGCUAGAGUGCGGCAGAGGGGGAUGGAAUUCCGCGUGUAGCAGUGAAAUGCGUAGAUAUGCGGAGGAACACCGAUGGCGAAGGCAAUCCCCUGGGCCUGCACUGACGCUCAUGCACGAAAGCGUGGGGAGCAAACAGG
rnacentral:rRNA from 1 species